UGUCUUCAAAUGGAAAGAGAUAUUUUCAAACAUCCUUGAAUUGCGCAUGCAGAAUGAGGGCGGCAUGGUGCUUACAUACCCACUAAUCUCUGUUAUGACAUGUCUGCAUGACGGAGAGGAUCAUACUCCUGGGUUGAGGAAAGGAGGGUCCACAGAUGACACAAUCAAGAGAUGCAGUGGCCCACAGAGAAUGCAAAUGGGCAAAAAGACUCACCAUGCCAGCUGCCUUUUAAAAGAAAAUGCCAAUUAAGGGAAAAAAUCGCCUUUCCAAAGAAAUGAUAUAGCAAAAGGGGAAGUAAUGGAAUACUGUCUUUCUUCACAAGAAACUAUUUUUCUUAUCAGACUCUUUCCGGUUAUGGGUUAACACGGGAGGAACACCAGACCGAGGCCUUUGCAAAGAGCAGGGAAUCCAAAGGACGCUGUCCAGACAAGGUCAGGAUUCACGGCAACUCAUUUGUUCCAGGAUUUUACUCAGAGACCCAGGGAUGCAUAUUCCUUGUGUUGAAAUCACUGCAGCCUUCUUCUCCAUGGCCGGAUCUGGAAAGAGGCCUUUUGGACAUGAUCUCAACUGUGAGAACAUUCCUAAUAUGUUCCAUGUUUACAGGCUCAAAAGCAUUUUUAAUGAGUGGAGUAUGGUGAUGCCUUGCCAGUGUGUCUGCAGAUGACUCAAUCUGUAUGCACACACCCAAAUGCACACACGCUUGGAAAAGGGAAACCAUGGAGUUGCACAAACUGGAGGCAGGAGGUCCAGUUUCACCACCAAAGGAGCUUGAAAACCCAUUUUCAGAGCUGCUUUUUGUAGAGGAGCAGGUAAUGAGUGCCCUGUGUGCUGCCUGGCCCCUGCUAAGUCCUCCAUGAGCUCUGCUGUUCAUUCUCAC